rnacentral:rRNA from 1 species
AUUGAACGCUGGCGGCAUGCCUUACACAUGAAAGUCGAACGGCAGCAUGGAAGAGCUUGCUCUUCUGAUGGCGAGUGGCGAACGGGUGAGUAAAGCAUCGGCACGUACCGUGUAAUGUGGCAUAACGUAGCGAAAGUUACGCUAAUACCGCAUACUACCCGAGGGUGAAAGCAGGGGAUCGCAAGAGCUUGUGUUAUACGAUCGGCCGAUGUCAGAUUAGCUAGUUGGUAGGGUAAAGGCAUACCAAGGCGACGAUCUGUAGCGGGUCUGAGAGGAUGAUCCGCCACACUGGGACUGAGACACGGCCCAGACUCCUACGGGAGGCAGCAGUGGGGAAUUUUGGACAAUGGGGGAAACCCUGAUCCAGCCAUGCCGCGUGAGUGAAGAAGGCCUUCGGGUUGUAAAGCUCUUUCGGCCGGGAAAAAAUCGCACAGGCUAAUACUCUGUGUGGAUGACGGUACCGGCAUAAGAAGCACCGGCUAACUACGUGCCAGCCGCCGCGGUAA